rnacentral:rRNA from 1 species
CCUACGGGGGGCAGCAGUGGGGAAUAUUGGACAAUGGGGGCAACCCUGAUCCAGCCAUGCCGCGUGUGUGAAGAAGGCCCUCGGGUUGUAAAGCACUUUCAGUGAGGAAGAACGCCUGGUGGUUAAUACCCAUCAGGAAAGACAUCACUCACAGAAGAAGCACCGGCUAACUCCGUGCCAGCAGCCGCGGUAAUACGGAGGGUGCGAGCGUUAAUCGGAAUUACUGGGCGUAAAGCGCGCGUAGGUGGCUUGAUAAGCCGGUUGUGAAAGCCCCGGGCUCAACCUGGGAACGGCAUCCGGACCUGUCAAGCUAGAGUGCAGGAGAGGAGGGUAGAAUUCCCGGUGUAGCGGUGAAAUGCGUAGAGAUCGGGAGGAAUACCAGUGGCGAAGGCGGCCUUCUGGACUGACACUGACACUGAGGUGCGAAAGCGUGGGUAGCAAACAGGAUUAGAUACCCCGGUAGUC